rnacentral:lncRNA from 1 species
GUCUGCCCUCGCACCGGCCCGGCGGCGCUGGGGACCUGGCGGUGCCCUCGCAGGCACGGGGGGGGGUCGGUUCUGGUGUGGGUCAGGGCAGCGGGUCCGUGGCGGCAGGACCCGGGUUGGGUCCUUGAGAUGAGGGCGGGGGCUUCCAGCUCGGCUUGGGUUGUUCUGGAGCACCCCCUUCACCUGUGCCCGUGGGUAAGGAGGGAGGCACCGACCUCCUGCCCGCACCUGCGGCUCCCGGGCCCGGGGCUGAUGCCCCGGCGCUGUGGGGGAUGCCCGAUGCCCCGCACCGCCGCUCACCGCUCUUUGUCCUCUGUCCUCAGCGUUCGUGGGAUGCUGCGUGCGGCUCUGCCCCUGCCUCAGCACCGAGAUGGGCCCCACACCCGUCACUGCCGUCCCCUGCACCCACCCGGGCACCGCGACGGGGGAGCGCUGCCCCACAGAUCCGGAGGGAGGAGCUGACGUGGGGCAGGCACCGACACCGGAGGCCGUGGGGCGGCUGCGGACAGGGGCUGAGCUGCUCCCGUUCCCUGGGACCCCCACCGGGGCUGCCGAGACCCCCGGCCCCCAGCGGAGCCCCUCGGGCCCCUGGGCAGGCAGGGACGGAGCAUCCAUACCCCGGCUCCCUGCGGGCAGCGAGCGCCCAGGGGGGACCAGCGCAGGGGCCCCGGCCCCUGAGGAGCCGAGCAUGGCUCCUGCCACCGGGCACCCCCCCGGGACUCACCCUGUAGGAAACGCGGUGUCUGAAGGGGCCACGACCGCACCGGGGACACACUGGCGUUCACCAUCCUCCACAAUGGUACCCAGCUCUGCCGAGGGGCAGGGGGGGGCCCCCAGCACCCUGCCGGGAUGGAGCCCCACGGGCACAGCUCUGGUGCGGAGCCAGGGGGGCUCACAGGGUCCCUCACCCCCUGAGCCGGCGAUGGGGGAGGACGCGGAUGCCGCCGUCCCGCUGGGUGACAGCAGCACAGGGCCGCGGCCGAGCAUCACGGUGGCCACCGACAGCCCAGCGCCGGGGACAGCC